CGCUGGCGGCGCGCCUAACACAUGCAAGUCGAACGAGCGAGAGAGAGCUUGCUUUCUCAAGCGAGUGGCGAGCGGGUGAGUAACGCGUGAGGAACCUGCCUCAAAGAGGGGGACAACAGUUGGAAACGACUGCUAAUACCGCAUAAGCCCACGGGUCGGCAUCGACCAGAGGGAAAAGGAGCAAUCCGCUUUGAGAUGGCCUCGCGUCCGAUUAGCUAGUUGGUGAGGUAAUGGCCCACCAAGGCGACGAUCGGUAGCCGGACUGAGAGGUUGAACGGCCACAUUGGGACUGAGACACGGCCCAGACUCCUACGGGAGGCAGCAGUGGGGAAUAUUGCACAAUGGGGGAAACCCUGAUGCAGCGACGCCGCGUGGAGGAAGAAGGUCUUCGGAUUGUAAACUCCUGUUGUUGAGGAAGAUAAUGACGGUACUCAACAAGGAAGUGACGGCUAACUACGUGCCAGCAGCCGCGGUAAAACGUAGGUCACAAGCGUUGUCCGGAAUUACUGGGUGUAAAGGGAGCGCAGGCGGGAAGACAAGUUGGAAGUGAAAUCUAUGGGCUCAACCCAUAAACUGCUUUCAAAACUGUUUUUCUUGAGUAGUGCAGAGGUAGGCGGAAUUCCCGGUGUAGCGGUGGAAUGCGUAGAUAUCGGGAGGAACACCAGUGGCGAAGGCGGCCUACUGGGCACCAACUGACGCUGAGGCUCGAAAGUGUGGGUAGCAAACAGGAUUAGAUACCCUGGUAGUCCACACCGUAAACGAUGAUUACUAGGUGUCGGAGGAUUGACCCCAUCUGUGCCGCAGUUAACACAAUAAGUAAUCCACGUGGGGAGUACGACCGCAAGGUCGAAAGUCAAAGGAAUUGACGGGGGCCCGCACACGCAGUGGAGUAUGUGGUUUAAUUCGACGCAACGCGAAGAACCUUACCAAGUCUUGACAUCCUGCGACGUGCAUAGAAAUAUGUAUUUCGUUCGGGACGCAGAGACAGGUGGUGCAUGGUUGUCGUCAGCUCGUGUCGUGAGAUGUUGGGUUAAGUCCCGCAACGAGCGCAACCCUUACUGUCAGUUAGUACGCAAGAGGACUGUGGCAGGACUGCCGUUGACAAAACGGAGGAAGGUGGGGAUGACGUCAAAUCAUCAUGCCCCUUAUGACUUGGGUUACACACGUAUUACAAUGGCGUUAAACAAAGAGAAGCAAGACCGCGAGGUGGAGCAAAACUCAGAAACAACGUCCCAGUUCGGACUGCAGGCUGCAACUCGCCUGCACGAAGUCGGAAUUGCUAGUAAUCGUGGAUCAGCAUGCCACGGUGAAUACGUUCCCGGGCCUUGCACA
rnacentral:rRNA from 1 species